rnacentral:rRNA from 1 species
UUCCGGUUGAUCCUGCCGGACCUGACUGCUAUCGGAUUGGUACUAAGCCAUGCGAGUCAUUGUAGCAAUACAAGGCGGACGGCUCAGUAACACGUAGUCAACCUAACUCGUGGACGUGGAUAACCUCGGGAAACUGAGAAUAAACCGCGAUAGACCAUAGUGCCUGGAAUGGCCUAUGAUCAAAACAGUUUACUGCCAUGGGAUGGGACUGCGGCCUAUCAGCUUGUUGGUGAGGUAAUGGCCCACCAAGGCGAUUACAGGUACGGGCUCUGAGAGGAGAAGCCCGGAGAUGGGUACUGAGACACGGACCCAGGCCCUAUGGGGCGCAGCAGGCGAGAAACCUUAGCAAUGUGCGAAAGCACGACUGGGUCAGUCCGAGUGAUUCCUGAUGAAGGAGUCUUUUGCUAGUCCUAAAAGCACAGGUGAAUAAGGGGUGGGCAAGUCUGGUGUCAGCCGCCGCGGUAAUACCAGCACCUCGAGUGGUCAGGACGUUUAUUGGGCCUAAAGCAUCCGUAGCCGGCGCUGCAAGUCUUCGGUUAAAUCC